CACGUAGGAACGUACCCCAAAGUGAGGGAUAACUGCUCGAAAGAGUAGCUAAUACCGCAUGUGCUCUAAGGAGUAAAGCUUCGGCGCUUUGGGAACGGCCUGCGUAAGAUUAGCUUGUUGGUGAGGUAAAAGCUCACCAAGGCGAUGAUCUUUAGCUGGUCUGAGAGGAUGAUCAGCCAGACUGGGACUGAGACACGGCCCAGACUCCUACGGGAGGCAGCAGUAGGGAAUUUUCCACAAUGGGCGAAAGCCUGAUGGAGCAACGCCGCGUGCAGGAUGAAGGCCUUCGGGUUGUAAACUGCUUUUAUCUGUGACGAAUAUGACGGUAGCAGAUGAAUAAGGAUCGGCUAACUCCGUGC
rnacentral:rRNA from 1 species